AAAAUACCAAUAAUACACUCAUAUUUUUAUUUUAUUUUUUUCUACAAGGCUGCCAUCGUCAGAACAUUGGGUUUUGAUGAUGGGCAUUCAUCCAACUAAUCAUCCGUGUCUUAUCGAUCCAAUGAUACUGGACAUUGGGUUUUCAAUUUCCUUUUUCUUCUUCAAGAAAGUAAGAGACAACAACUAAGACUAACAGAGAGACGACUUUGCAAAACUCUCUCUCUUUAGUAAUUUUUUUUUUUUAGCCGUCGACAUAGAGAGCUUUUCUUAUUGUGAUAUUCGGCGUUUGAAUCGGUUCGUUACUUCAAUCAUUUUCGUCGAAACGUUUGAAAUUGUUUUUGGAUAGUUGUUAUCAAGUAAAGUUGAAUGUCCGAAAAUUCACAUAUUUGGGCAAAAUCUCUAAUUUAUUUGUUUGGUUAUGUUUUUUAUAGAGUGAAAAAGCUCCAUUAACUUCGAUAUUGGAUUGUACUGUGUUCGCCGGCGAUCAAUUUACCGGUAUUACAGGCGAUUUGUUCUGAGUCUUCAUCUUUGUUCGAGCUCAGAGCUGAUUUUAAGUCGUGCGUUUUGUUAAUUAGGUUGUUUGUUAAUAUGGGUUUUGGUAAGAAAGUGGUAGAUGUGAAGAGAAAUAGCAAGAUUGACUGGAAGUUAGAGAAAACUUUGUUGGAACCCUAGAAAGUAGAAAUUUAAUCUCAAUAGUCUCUUUAAAUUCUUUGAGAAGACAAAUGCCCUAGAUUUCGUUCUUUUGGCCACCCAAAAAAAACCCUAUAACAAAUUUCAUCACCAUGCCAGCUGACGUAGAUAACUUAUCCGCAUGAAUGAUUCCAUAGCUUCAGGUGAAGCGAGUGUCUCUUCUUCCGGCAAUUAAGUAGUACCAGCAAAAUCAACAUCAAAGAAGAAGCGAAAUCUCCCUGGAAUGCCAGAUCCGAACGCAGAAGUGAUUGCUCUGUCUCUGAAAUCUCCGAUCCAAACAUGAAGCUCUGUUCCGACAGAAAUCACCGGCGUCACUGUGGGCGAUGGCAGCCUUAUUGACUUUGGCUUCAACUUUUUGCGGCAGGGAAGACUAGAGAAGAAAAAAAUAAAAUAAAAAUAUGCGAACAUUGCUAUUUAACAUUCAUGAAUUUAAUAUUUUUUAUAAUACAUUAAUAAAUAAAUUAAUAAUUAUAUUAUUUUACCGGUCAAAAUUUUGUCUUAAAUGGUCUUGGAGGAGGCAUUUUGCUUUUUUUUUAUAGUUGAUGGUAUAACUUACUUCAAAAAAAACUAUUGAGGGGCAUUAUGUAAUUAUUGUACAGUUUAAGGAAUUUUUUGCUUUUUUACCUAAUAAUUAUAAGGAUAAUAUUUAGUUAUUUAAUGAUGAGUAGCUUUAUCUUAUUCACCUUCGGAGCAUUUCUAACUCAAUCUUAUUUGAGUUGCUAUUAUUAAAAUAUAACAAUGGGCUUCAAAUGGGCUCUACAAUGAACUGUCAUUUAGCCCGCUAAAUUUUAACUUUGCCAUUUCUUUUGUCAAUUCUAGCACAAGAAAUGGCAAUUGCUAUUUCCCUAUGUAGGGCAACAGGGAGAGAGAGUGAAGAGAACGGCAGCGACGAGGACAGAGAGAGAGAAGAGAACGGCCCGCUAUUUGUCGAUCAAACCCCACCACCAGCAUCCCGAUCAGAGCUCUACCUCAGCCCUGCCCUCCUCUCUCCCUCUCUCUCUCCUACACCACACACUCUCUCCUCAAACCAUGGACAAAUGCCUACACCAUAGCCACUCCUCCGUCGCUUUGAAACUCUAGAAGGAAGCAACAGUAGGUUCAUAGAGAAAGAAGCCAAGGAAAAAGAGAGAGAUGAUAAGAUUAUGAUGAACCUUUCUAACAUGGACCCUCAGGCGAAAGUUUAUUACCAGCUGCGCAAGGAUGAGAUUCUUGCCAAACUACAAACACACUCAACAAACUUUGAUUAUUGUGUUAGGACACGUGAAGUUGAGACUUUUGCAGCUAGUUGCUGAUCUUUUGUGUAAAUGGGCUGUCAAAAACAAAUCUUUUGUGUAAAUGGGUUCAAUGUUUGAAGGCAGCUCAAUUUUUGUGUAAAGGACAAUGUUUUAAACAGCUAGCUUUGAAUGUUGUAAUAUCAUUGUACAUAUUGCUUGUUA